CUGCUGACGAGCGGCGGACGGGUGAGUAAUGUAUGGGGAUCUGCCUGAUGGCGGGGGAUAACUACUGGAAACGGUAGCUAAUACCGCAUAAUGUCUUCGGACCAAAGCGGGGGACCUUCGGGCCUCGCGCCAUCAGAUGAACCCAUAUGGGAUUAGCUGGUAGGUAAGGUAACGGCUUACCUAGGCGACGAUCCCUAGCUGGUCUGAGAGGAUGAUCAGCCACACUGGGACUGAGACACGGCCAGACUCCUACGGGAGGCAGCAGUGGGGAAUAUUGCACAAUGGGCGCAAGCCUGAUGCAGCCAUGCCGCGUGUAUGAAGAAGGCCUUCGGGUUGUAAAGUACUUUCAGUCGGGAGGAAGGUGUCAAGGUUAAUAACCUUGGCAAUUGACGUUACCGACAGAAGAAGCACCGGCUAACUCCGUGCCAGCAGCCGCGGUAAUACGGAGGGUGCAAGCGUUAAUCGGAAUUACUGGGCGUAAAGCGCACGCAGGCGGUUGAUUGAGUCAGAUGUGAAAUCCCCGGGCUUAACCCGGGAAUUGCAUCUGAUACUGGUCAGCUAGAGUCUUGUAAGGGGGGUAGAAUUCCAUGUGUAGCGGUG
rnacentral:rRNA from 1 species